UAGACUAAGUGGAGAAGUAGUCUCCUCACUUUGCUAGGAAAGUGAGAUUCAACUCCUCCAACUUAUUUUA
rfam:Strigamia maritima strain Brora ctg7180001228950, whole genome shotgun sequence.